GCAAGUCGAACGCUCUCGACCUUCGGGUCAUAUGAGAGAGUGGCGAACGGGUGCGUAACACGUGAGAAAUCUGCCCCAAAGACGGGAAUAGCCCGAGGAAACUCGGAUUAAUACCCGAUACCUUCAUCGGACCGCAUGGUCUGGUGAAGAAAUGCUCCGGCGCUUUGGGAGGAUCUCGCGGCCUAUCAGCUUGUUGGUGAGGUAACGGCUCACCAAGGCAUCGACGGGUAGCUGGUCUGAGAGGACGAUC
rnacentral:rRNA from 1 species